CCUACGGGUGGCUGCAGUGGGGAAUAUUGCACAAUGGGCGGAAGCCUGAUGCAGCAACGCCGCGUGAGGGAUGACGGCCUUCGGGUUGUAAACCUCUUUUAGCAGGGAAGCAGCGAAAGUGACGGUACCUGCAGAAAAAGCGCCGGCUAACUACGUGCCAGCAGCCGCGGUAAUACGUAGGGCGCAAGCGUUAUCCGGAAUUAUUGGGCGUAAAGAGCUCGGAGGCGGUUUGGUGCGUCGGCUGGGAAAUCCCGAGGCUCAACCUCGGGCCGGCAGGGGGUACGGGGAGACUAGAGUGCGGUAGGGGAGAUUGGAAUUCCUGGUGUAGCGGUGGAAUGCGCAGAUAUCAGGAGGAACACCGAUGGCGAAGGCAGAUCUCUGGGCCGUAACUGACGCUGAGGAGCGAAAGGGUGGGGAGCAAACAGGCUUAGAUACCCGUGUAGUC
rnacentral:rRNA from 1 species